rnacentral:rRNA from 1 species
CCUACGGGAGGCAGCAGUGGGGAAUAUUGCGCAAUGGGCGAAAGCCUGACGCAGCGACGCCGCGUGAGGGAUGAAGGUCCUCUGAUCGUAAAACUGUGUCAGCAGGGAGGAACGGUCACUUUGCUAUUCAUCAGUGAAUUGACCGUACCUGUAAAGGUAGCAUCGGCCCAAUCCGUCCCAGCAGCCGCGGUAAUACGGAAGGUGCGAGCGGUAAUCGGAAUUAAUUGGCGUAAAGGGCGCGUAGGCGGUAUGUCAAGUAAAGGGUGAAAUCCCCGCGCUCAACGUGGGAACUGCCUUUGAUACUGGCAGGCUGGAGAGUGUGAGAGGAUAGUGGAAUUCCAGGUGUAGGAGUGAAAUCCGUAGAGAUCUGAAGGAACAUCAGUGGCGAAGGCGACUAACUAAGACAUAACUGACGCUGAGGAACGAAAGCGUGGGUAGCAAACAGGAUUAGAUACCCGAGUAGUC